GAUGAGGAGGAUGGAUGAGCAGAGGACCUGCUGCAGAGCGGUGGGAGCCUUUCUUUCAGUGUGCUCACUCAGAGAGGACAAACCAGCCUGAACAGCCAGAGGAUGAGGAGCGCCCCAAACAGACCAACACAGAGGAGGCUGUUAGCCUCUGCCUCCUCUGAGCUGGAGGGUCUGGGAUGCUCCUCACUCACACACAUGAACUCAUCAUGAUUGUGAAGAUAUGCAGAGAAAGGAGAAAGUUUAGAAAUAAAGACUGUUUAAAGCAUUUCAUUUGUUUCUGUUUACAACUUUUACAAAGUACUAAUGGCUUUUGCAAUAAAAGACAUUUUCUUUACAUGCA